rfam:Oryza punctata chromosome 3, whole genome shotgun sequence.
UUUAAGCGUAGCCAUAAGUUUCCGUGUCUUUUUUUCGUCCGUCUUAUUUAAAUUUUUUUAUGAUUCGUAUUUUUAUUGCUAUUAGAUGAUAAAAUAUGAAUAAUACUUUAUAUGUGACUUAUGUUUAAUUUUUUUUAAAAUUAUUUUAAAUAAGAUGAACGAUUAAAGUUGGACACGAAACUCAUGACUGCGCUUAAA